CCCGCGCCGCGGAAAGCCGGACCUCCGCCACCUGGCAAGCCGGACGCCCCGGGAUCAGGUGUCGCCACACAGCAAAGCCAACGUUUGCCAACACCUGAGCUUCCCCCGGCUUGAUACCAGAAGGAGGGUAGUAACCGAGAUAGAAUUACAUCACACAGUAUGCCUGUCCCUUGUAAUCAGAGAAACUGCAUAUCAGCCUAGCAUCACAGGUGAGAAACCAAAGAUCCCUGAAGACUCACUGAGUCCCACCACUGUUCAGCUAGACCAUCACGGAGCCAACCCUACAGGUCAGCGCUCCAGAAUUCCAGGUCCGGGCUGGCCCUGGACUACAAAUGUGUCAUCCAUAUUCAAGAUGACCUCAGCCAGAGGUUACGACUUUUUAUCCAGCUUUUUAUCCAGACUUAGUCGAAGUCUUAUAGUCUCUAUGGAAUAUACUUAUGGUCCUCAGACUAUACUGAUAUAUCCAUGAUAUAAACAUUAUUAAGCACACUACUAUGAACCACACAAUAUUUUAAAUAAAAAUAUAAGUAAAAAUGAGAACAAAGGUAGAAAACUCACUUACCUUCUAGGCCCAAGCAGAUAACAAAAAUGAGUGAGACAGGCUAGACUGUGGGGUUACCAGAUACAAUACAGGGUGUCCCAACUGAAUUGCACCAGUUAUAUAAGACAUACAUUGAAAACAGUAAAAUAAAAUCGCUGUUUAUGUGAAUGUCAGGAAUUUGCGGAGAACUGGAAAGUGCCUGCCCCUCUCACCAGCAGAGGGCAGCUGCCUCAGUCUCAGAGGUUGUCGCCAUGGGAAACACAGCCCUGAGGUCACCAAAUUAUUUAAACUACAUCAGCUGGGAAGCCAGGCUUUUAGUAAACUCUCCCACACUGUAAAAGUGCUCAACUGAUUUGGAAAAAUUUACAGACUACUUGGGGAAAAAAAACAUCUGUAGAUUCUGAUGGUGUUUAAAGAAAAUGAAG